rnacentral:rRNA from 1 species
GAUGAACGCUAGCUACAGGCUUAACACAUGCAAGUCGAGGGGAAACGACAUCGGAAGCUUGCUUUUGAUGGGCGUCGACCGGCGCGCGGGUGAGUAACGCGUAUCCAACCUGCCCACCACUUGGGGAUAACCUUGCGAAAGUAAGACUAAUACCCAAUGAUAUCUCUAGAAGACAUCUGAAAGAGAUUAAAGAUUUAUCGGUGAUGGAUGGGGAUGCGUCUGAUUAGCUUGUUGGCGGGGUAACGGCCCACCAAGGCUACGAUCAGUAGGGGUUCUGAGAGGAAGGUCCCCCACAUUGGAACUGAGACACGGUCCAAACUCCGACGGGAGGCAGCAGGGAGGAAUAUUGGUCAAUGGACGGGAGUCUGAACCAGCCAAGUAGCGUGCAGGAUGACGGCCCUAUGGGUUGUAAACUGCUUUUAUAAGGGAAUAAAGUGAGUCUCGUGAGACUUUUUGCAUGUACCUUAUGAAUAAGGACCGGCUAAUUCCGUGCCAGCCGCCGCCGUAA